rnacentral:ribozyme from 14 species
AAGAAGAAAUGGGAAAAUACGAAACAUAGUUUAUAGAUGCUAUUUUUAGCGAUGUGACUUCUUCCAUGUUUAUUUUCUCCUUUUAUUAAAAAUCAGCUAUCCUAUUAAUAGUCUA